CCCUCUGUUCCCGAUGGCCAAAGGACAGGGCAGCAGAAGGAGGCAAAAUGGAGCAGCAUCCACCUCUGACUUGGAGCACCCACCCCUGACUUGGAGCACCCAUGAUCAGGACCUCUGGAUGAACGAACUUGAGCAACCUUAAGCUCCUGGUGCAAUGAGGUUUUUUGGGAGGGAAGGCAGAGUGUGACCUUCUCAGAGGCCCCUUGACCAAAUCCAUAAGCUUCUGAAGAGGUGCAAUUUUGG